GGUUGUAUAGUGUAGAGGUUAGCACGUGGGAUUUUGAGAGUUAUCUUAGAAAUCUUCCUGAGACCCCGGUUCGAGCCCGGGUACGACCU